GAUAAAUAAGGUGAAAAACCUUAUCGCCGAAAGUCUAAGGGUUCCUGAUCAACGUUAAUCGGAUCAGGGUUAGUCGGGUCCUUAGGUAAACCCGAAAGGGGUAACUGAUGGAAAACUGGUUAAUAUUCCAGUACCCACUGUAGUUUCGAUGGGGUGACGCAUUAUUGAAAGUCUCACGGGGAUCACGGAAUAUCCCGUUUAAGCAUGUAGCUAUACGUUUUACAGGUAAAUCCGUAAGAUGUGGCAAAGUGCGAAAGUACACUGCGGCUUCGGCCAAUGGGAGAGACCUAAAAGAUGCCGAGAAAAACCUCUAAGGUUAGGCUACAGCGGCCCGUACCGCAAACCGACACAGGUAGACGAGAUGAAUAUUCUAAGGCGCUCGGGUGAGCCGUGGAGAAGGAACUAGGCAAAUUGACGCUGUAACUUCGGGAUAAAGCGUACCACCUUAUGGGUGGUCUCAGUAAAAUGGUCCAACCAACUGUUUAGCAAAAACACAGGGCCCUGCAAAAUCGAAAGAUGACGUAUAGAGCCUGAUACCUGCCCGGUGCUGGAAGGUUAAGGAAGGGUGUUCGACGCAAGUCAAAGCUCCUGACUGAAGCCCCAGUAAACGGCGGCCGUAACUAUAACGGUCCUAAGGUAGCGAAAUUCCUUGUCGGGUAAGUUCCGACCUGCACGAAUGGUCUAAUGAGUUGGACUCUGUCUCCUCCACGAGCCCGGUGAAAUUGUAGUAUCGGUGAAGAUGCCGGUUACCCGCCACGGGACGGAAAGACCCCGUGAACCUUCACUACAACUUUGCAUUGAUUUUGAAGUUUAGAUGUGUAGCAUAGUUGGGAGACUAUGAAGCGGUGCCGCUAGGUGCUGUGGAGUCAUCGUUGAAAUACCAACCUUCUGACAUUUAGAAUCUAAUCCCUUACGGGAGACAUUGCAUGGUGGGUAGUUUGACUGGGGUGGUCGCCUCCUAAAGAGUAACGGAGGCUCGCAAAGGUACCCUCAGUACGGUUGGUAAUCGUACGUAGAGCGCAUUAGUAUAAGGGUGCUUGACUGUGAGGCAAACACGCCGAGCAGGUGCGAAAGCAGGCUAAAGUGAUCCGGCAGUUCUGUAUGGAAGGGCUGUCGCUCAAAGGAUAAAAGGUACUCCGGGAUAACAGGCUGAUCUCCCCCAAGAGCUCAUAUCGACGGGGAGGUUUGGCACCUCGAUGUCGGUUCGUCACAUCCUGGGGCUGGAGAAGGUCCCAAGGGUUCGGCUGUUCGCCGAUUAAAGUGGCACGUGAACUGGGUUCAGAACGUCGCAAGACAGUUCGGUCCCUAUCUGUGGUGGGCGUUAGGAAAUUGCAAGGACAUGACCUUAGUACGAGAGGACCGGGUCGUAUGUACCGCUGGUGUAUCGGUUGUUCCGCCAGGAGCAGUGCCGAGUAGCUAUGUACAGACAGGAUAAACGCUGAAAGCAUCUAAGCGUGAAACCUUCCUUAAGAUGAGUUUCCUUUUAAGGGUCGUCAAAGACUAUGACGUUGAUAGGCUAUAGGUGUAAAACUGGUAACAGUAAAGCCGAGUAGUACUAAUUGCCCGUAAGCUUUAAUU
rnacentral:rRNA from 1 species